UAAAGCAAUCAUGGCGCAAUACAAGUUCGAAGGUGAUUUUGAAAGCCUAAACGAACCCCAACUGGAGUUCGUCAAUAAAGUGGUAGAAAAACAAGGUUUAAAAGCUAAAAGAGUAAUUUUCAACACAGUUGGGAAAGCCGGUGAUAAUUUUGUAGGAAAUGUUAAGAGAAUCACCAUAGAAGGUGAAGAUGGAAGCAUGAAAAUGAUUGUCAAAAUCGCCGCUACAGAUGAAAUGGCUCGACACACAACCAAUCAUGAAGUUACGUUUCGCAAUGAACACAUCAUGUACACAGAGGUAUUGCCUAAAUUCGUGCAGCUGCAGAAAGCAGCAGGAAUACCAGAAAAGGAUCUAUUUAGGUUUGCAAAAUGCUAUGGAUCUUUCAACGAACCUCCCAAUGAAGUUAUUAUAUUAGAAGACUUGAAUGAAUCACAAUUCAGUAUGCUGGAUAAGUUUGAAUCAUUGUCCAAUGAAUGUGUGAGAAAGGUACUAAAAGACUUAGCUGUGUACCAUUCUCUUUCAUUCGUUCUGAAGAAGCAAGAACCGAAAAAGUAUGAAGAGUUUAAAAAGAAACUGACAGAUGGUUGGAAUGUAGUGUUCUCAAACCCUUUGAUGAAUAAUCACUGGAAAUUAUUGGAAGCUGAUACUGUAAAAGUUCUUGGUGAUAAGCAUAAACAUUUAAUUGAAAAUAAACUUAUUAAAAUGUUCAAAGGGCGGGCCCAGUUGGUAGCAAGUGGAAGUCAAAGACAUAAUGUUAUUCAACAAGGAGAUGCGUGGACGAAUAAUAUUAUGUUUAAAAUGGAAGGUGACUCAAUACAAUCCAUCAUGAUCGACUACCAAUUUGCAACCGACGGUAACCCAACACUUGAUCUCCUCUACAUCAUCUUCAACUGCACCGAUCACGAAACCAGGUCCAAACACUAUCCCAGUUGGAUAGACCAUUACUAUUCGGAACUAGACAAGUCACUAUCGAAUUUUGGACUAAAAGCUGCCAUAGUUUACCCAAGAAACCAGAUGGAUGCAGAUAUAAAGAAAUACGCUCAAUUCAUGUUCUAUCAUUGUAUAUUAUUUGCUACUCUUCUAAUGAGGGAUCCGACAGAAGCGACGGAAAUUUUGGAGUCGUUCAAAAAAGCGCAUUUAGAUGACGCCACAGCAACUUUGAAGUCGGAGAACUUGCAGAGUGCGACUGUUGGGAGGAUCAAGGGUAGAAUAGAGGGUGUUAUUGCUAGCUACGAACAGUUUGGGUUGUUUUAAAUUAUGUUGUUUGUAUAAAUAGUGUGUGAUAAGACUACUUCUGUCAAUUUAAGCGAUAGAAGUUCCGAAACACGUAAUGGAUGGAUGGAUGGAUAUGGCCUGAACCCAGGAUUUUAUAGUUUAUUUAUUUGUUUGUUAAUCAGUAAAUAAUAA
rnacentral:misc_RNA from 1 species